rnacentral:rRNA from 2 species
GAUUGAACAACGGUUAACCCAUAGCUUACCACCUGCAUUUCGAGCGGGGGAAGGGAGCUUGCUACCGGACCUAGCGGCGGACGGGUGAGUAAUGCUUAGGAAUCUGCCUAUUAGUGGGGGACAACAUCUCGAAAGGGAUGCUAAUACCGCAUACGUCCUACGGGAGAAAGCAGGGGAUCUUCGGACCUUGCGCUAAUAGAUGAGCCUAAGUCGGAUUAGCUAGUUGGUGGGGUAAAGGCCUACCAAGGCGACGAUCUGUAGCGGGUCUGAGAGGAUGAUCCGCCACACUGGGACUGAGACACGGCCCAGACUCCUACGGGAGGCAGCAGUGGGGAAUAUUGGACAAUGGGGGGAACCCUGAUCCAGCCAUGCCGCGUGUGUGAAGAAGGCCUUAUGGUUGUAAAGCACUUUAAGCGAGGAGGAGGCUACUCUAGUUAAUACCUAGGGAUAGUGGACGUUACUCGCAGAAUAAGCACCGGCUAACUCUGUGCCAGCAGCCGCGGUAAUACAGAGGGUGCGAGCGUUAAUCGGAUUUACUGGGCGUAAAGCGUGCGUAGGCGGCUUAUUAAGUCGGAUGUGAAAUCCCCGAGCUUAACUUGGGAAUUGCAUUCGAUACUGGUGAGCUAGAGUAUGGGAGAGGAUGGUAGAAUUCCAGGUGUAGCGGUGAAAUGCGUAGAGAUCUGGAGGAAUACCGAUGGCGAAGGCAGCCAUCUGGCCUAAUACUGACGCUGAGGUACGAAAGCAUGGGGAGCAAACAGGAUUAGAUACCCUGGUAGUCCAUGCCGUAAACGAUGUCUACUAGCCGUUGGGGCCUUUGAGGCUUUAGUGGCGCAGCUAACGCGAUAAGUAGACCGCCUGGGGAGUACGGUCGCAAGACUAAAACUCAAAUGAAUUGACGGGGCCCGCACAAGCGGUGGAGCAUGUGGUUUAAUUCGAUGCAACGCGAAGAACCUUACCUGGCCUUGACAAAACUAGAAACUUUCCAGAGG